rnacentral:rRNA from 1 species
CAUAUCGACGGGGAGGUUUGGCACCUCGAUGUCGGCCCGUCGCAUCCUGGGGCUGAAGAAGGUCCCAAGGGUUAGGCUGUUCGCCUAUUAAAGCGGCACGCGAGCUGGGUUCAGACCGACGUGAGUCAGGUCGGUCCCUAUCUGUCGUGGGCGUAGCAAAUGUGACAGGAGACAACUUUAGUACGAGAGGAUUGGGUUGUAGGUACCUCUGGUGCACCUGUUGUUCCGCUAGGAGCAGCGCAGGGUAGCUAUGUACCGAAAGGAUAAACGCUGAAAGCAUCUAAGCGUGAAGCCCCCCUGAAGAUAACAUUUGCAUGCACGUAUGUGCGAGAGACCCCUUGUAGACUACGAGGUAGAUAGGCCGGAAGUGUAAGCGCAGAGAUGCGUGUAGCUGACCGGUACUAAUGG